GUCACUGUGCAUUGCUGUGUGUCUGCCACCGCUGCCUGGCACUCAUGGGGCCGUGUGUGUGUGUGUUGUGUGUGUGUGUGUGUGUGUGUGUGUGUGUGUGUGUGUGUGUAUGCAUGUACAUGUGCGUAUAACGUGUGCUGUAUGUGAGCCUCCUGGGCAUGGGUGGGGGUUGGCAUUGCGGUUGCCAAUUUAGUGUCCAACCAGAAGGACAGAAGGAUGGAGUGGAAGAAGGAGGGGAAGGGUGUGGGGCCUGGGAGGGGAGAAGUGGGUGCAUGAGUUGCUUCAUUCUGCCUGCUUGCGGGCAUUGGCACUGCAGCUGCCAUCCCUGUGCCCAUGGAGAUGGGAGGAGGCGAAUGAAGGGGGGGCAGCGGCAAGAGUCCCAGUGCUCUGGGAGGAAUGCGCGGUACACAGGAGCUGUUGGCAUCACAUCUGUCAGGCCAGUGCCCAGUGCUAGAGCUGGGGAAUGGUGGACCCAGGAGGCAGGGAGAAGGGACAAGAAUCGGUGGUGGUGUUUCUGUCCUCCUCAAACACAGCUCUAAGAAAUGGUUGGACUUCGAGGUAGUUGGUUCUGUUCCAGCCUGGGGAAGUAAAGUGGUAGAGAGUAGACAGAGAAGUACCAAGAAUGUCCCAGAGCUGGCGAGGAUGGACUGUGCCACCACUGGCCAGGGAAACUUGUUUGGGCUGGCAACAUGGCUCUUUGUCAGAGUACCAAAGGAGACAGCAAGCGGACUGGGACAUGAAGGAGGGGGUUGGCAUUGUCCAUAGGGAUGGGCAGGAGCCCUGGCAUUACACAGAAUAGGGGUGGGUGAUAGUGCCUCUUCCCAGUGUGGUUGAAAGGAUUGUUGUGCCCGGAGUAAGCAGGGAGGAGGUGUGACGGGGGGUGCUUUAUUUGAGAGAACAGACUUUUUUUCUGCCAGGACCUCCUUCCCAUUUCUUCUUAGGCGUGAGGAAUGGAAUGACAAACAGAAAGCAGCGUGAGGACACAAAAGAGGAAGCGCGCCAUUGCUAAGACCCCAAGGAAGAAGCGUGCAGAGCGGCUGCCAGUCCUGCUUGGCCUCCAGCCAGUUCCCGCUGAAGAUGGCCAUAUCCUCUAGUCUGGUCUCAUCUCUAGAGUGGAUGGCAACUUCAGAAGAAGUAAGGUGGUUUCCACAGCAGAAGAGAAAGCAGAAGGCACUCAGCCAAGGGGGUGUGAAUAUCUUUACAAGGAUGAAUAAUUGGAUGAACAUGUCUUAAAAGUGGUCAGGAUAUGGAGAUUUGGAGGAAUAAAUGAUCUGGUCUAUGAGUCCUGCAAGUGGAUAAGGAACAAAUAGAAUAAGCAAGGAUACCGGGGAUCGAACUCAGGACCAUGUGCUUUCCAGGCAGGCACUGUGCUGCUGAGCUACAUCCCUGGUGCCCCACAUACCCAUUUGACAGCAACCUCUAAACCAUAGCAAACCCUGCCCUUACCAUCUUCCCCACAAGCACCAUUCUGGCCCCGGCCAUUACCUCUGUCCUGAUGAUUCCUUGGACCUCCCAUCCCUACUGCUGCCCCUCCAGUUCAGUUUCCUUCCACCCAACAACCAGAAAGAUCUUUUACUUGAUUCUCAAUUGUGAAAAAUGCCAUUUAUAAAACUGCUCCAAAUAACAUAAGGAAAUCUUUUUUACCCAUCAUCCAGUUAUUAAAAAAUCAAUUCAUGACCAGUCUUCUUUCAUUCAUAUCCUCC